UACGUAGGUGGCAAGCGUUGUCCGGAUUUACUGGGUGUAAAGGGUGCGCAGGCGGACCUUUAAGUAGAAAGUGAAAGGUUGGAGCUCAACUCCGACACUGCUUCCUAUACUGGGGGUCUUGAGUCUUGGAGGGGGAAGCGGAACGACACGUGUAGCGGUGAAAUGCGUUGAUAUGUGUCGGAACACCAAUGGCGAAAGCAGCUUCCUGGACAAGUACUGACGCUCAGGCACGAAAGCCAAGGUAGCAAACAGG
rnacentral:rRNA from 1 species